rnacentral:rRNA from 1 species
ACGGCUCAGUAACACGUAGUCAACAUGCCCAGGGGACGUGGAUAACCUCGGGAAACUGAGGAUAAACCGCGAUAAGUCACUACUUCUGGAAUGGGUAAUGACUUAAACCUAUAUGGCCCCUGGAUUGGACUGCGGCCGAUCAGGCUGUUGGUGAGGUAAUGGCCCACCAAACCUGUAACCGGUACGGGCUCUGAGAGGAGGAGCCCGGAGAUGGGCACUGAGACAAGGGCCCAGGCCCUAUGGGGCGCAGCAGGCGCGAAACCUCUGCAAUAGGCGAAAGCCUGACAGGGUUACUCUGAGUGAUUUCCGUUAAGGAGAUCUUUUGGCACCUCUAAAAAUGGUGCAGAAUAAGGGGUGGGCAAGUCUGGUGUCAGCCGCCGCGGUAAUACCAGCACCCCGAGUGGUCGGGACGUUUAUUGGGCCUAAAGCAUCCGUAGCCGGUUCUGCAAGUCUUCCGUUAAAUCCACCUGCUUAACAGAUGGGCUGCGGAAGAUACUAUAGAGCUAGGAGGCGGGAGAGGCAAGCGGUACUCGAUGGGUAGGGGUAAAAUCCGUUGAUCCAUUGAAGACCACCAGUGGCGAAGGCGGCUUGCCAGAACGCGCUCGACGGUGAGGGAUGAAAGCUGGGGGAGCAAACCGGAUUAGAUACCCGGGUAGUCCCAGCUGUAAACGAUGCAGACUCGGUGAUGAAUUGGCCUCAUGCCAAUUCAGUGCCGCAGGGAAGCCGUUAAGUUUGCCGCCUGGGGAGUACGGUCGCAAGACUGAAACUUAAAGGAAUUGGCGGGGGAGCAC